ACGAACGCUGGCGGCGUGCUUAACACAUGCAAGUCGAACGGGCCUUGUCCCCUUUUUUUUUGGGGGUGGGGUUAGUGGCGAACGGGUGAGUAACACGUGAGUAACCUGCCCCUCACUUCUGGAUAACCGCUUGAAAGGGUGGCUAAUACGGGGUGUUCUGGCCUGCUCGCAUGGGUGGGUUUGGAAAGAUUCGACCGGUUUUGGUUGUUUUGGUGGGGGAUGGGCUCGCGGCCUAUCAGCUUGUUGGUGGGGUGAUGGCCUGCCAAGGCUUUGACGGGUAGCCGGCCUGAGAGGGUGGGCGGUCACACUGGGACUGAGCCACGGCCCAGACUCCUACGGGAGGCAGCAGUGGGGAAUAUUGCACAAUGGGCGCACGCCUGAUGCAGCGACGCCGCGUGAGGGAUGGAGGCCUUCGGGUUGUGAACCUCUUUCGCCAGUGAAGAAGGUCCUGCUCUUUGUGGUGGGGUUGACGGUAGCUGGGUUAAUGAAGCGCCGGCUAACUACGUG
rnacentral:rRNA from 1 species